AGCAGUUUGACAUCUUUUCACAUCUUUUUCAAUACGAGAAAAAUUAAUUCAGAGUUCUUCAAAAUAUGAACAUUUUUUGACAGGUAAAACUUUUCAGAUAAACUUUUUCAAUGAAAAUAGAAGCAUUCAUUCCACAGAAAAGUUUUCUCAGGGGAAAGCCAUUUAAUCACAAGCUAUAUAUAACACAGGAAAUAGCAUCCUUUGUUGAAUCACUAGCUGCCACAAAGAGUCCUCAGUUUUCUAUAGUGGUCCUGUCCCUGCUGAGAGUGAGAGAUUCCUCAUGUCCAUGGCCCUGCAAAGGUUUAAAUUAAACCUACCUUACACACAUUGUGGGAGGCUGAAUUUAAUUUAAUGGCUUCAGCCCAAAAUCCAGAGGGAUACAUGUUCUCUGAAGACACUUCCACAAGACAAUUUGAAAGAGCCCUGCCUCUGAAUCAAGGAGACAAGAAAGUCCUGCUGAGUCUUUGUAUCAAGGAUCUCAACCUUCUGCCCUGGUCCCUAGUAUUUGGAUGGAGGAAUGUCUAAUCUUAAGGCUGGGCUCUUCAGCAAACCCCAGACAUGAUUGUCCGACUGGGAGACUCUCUGACUCUGAACUGCUCACACAAAGAGAGUGGAGCCUGGACCAUGCUCUGGUACAAGCUGCCAGUGGGGAAGAACGCCACUUUGCAGCUGAUUGUUCGUUCAGUGGAAGGUAACAAAGCAGAGUUUGAGGAAGAAUUCAAAAGCCGCUUCCAAAGCAGUGG
ensembl:lncRNA